UAGCCGAGCGCUUGUUAAUCAGUGUACAGG
rnacentral:piRNA from 1 species